rnacentral:lncRNA from 1 species
CAUUACAGCAGCACCGCUUCUUGCCUUGGACACAGCAGCUCCUUGGGAUGCAACAGCUGAGAAUCCUCUGCCGUUGAUUGCCUCGCUGAUCAGGCCAGAGAUGACCUUGGCGUUUGAGAAAGAACGAGCCAUUCUACAAAUACAGUGUGUGAUUUGAUUCAAACUUUGUGAAAGAAGUUUUACGAAAACAAGAGAUGAUGGAUCUUUUAUAUAUUUCAACUGCCGUAGAAACUUGUUUGUUUCUUCUUCGAGAAACUUUCUGCAGCAGUUGAAGGACCCAAAGACUAUCUUUCUUUCUCGGCUCUCUCUCUCUCUGUUUAAGUUUGCAAGAAUAUA